rnacentral:rRNA from 1 species
UGAGGGAAUAUUUGGGGUCAAUGGGCGAGAGCCUGAACCAGCCAAGUAGCGUGCAGGAUGACGGCCCUAUGGGUUGUAAACUGCUUUUAUAAGGGAAUAAAGUGGGUCACGUGUGACUUUUUGCAUGUACCUUAUGAAUAAGGACCGGCUAAUUCCGUGCCAGCAGCCGCGGUAAUACGGAAGGUCCGGGCGUUAUUCGGAUUUAUUGGGUUUAAAGGGAGCGUAGGCCGGAGAUUAAGCGUGUUGUGAAAUGUAGUGGCUCAACCUCUGCACUGCAGCGCGAACUGGUCUUCUUGAGUACGCACAACGUGGGCGGAAUUCGUG